CCUACGGGGGGCUGCAGUGGGGAAUAUUGCACAAUGAGCGCAAGCCUGAUGCAGCCAUGCCGCGUGUGUGAAGAAGGCCUUCGGGUUGUAAAGCACUUUCAGCGGGGAGGAAGGCGUUAAGGUUAAUAACCUUGUCGAUUGACGUUACCCGCAGAAGAAGCACCGGCUAACUCCGUGCCAGCAGCCGCGGUAAUACGGAGGGUGCAAGCGUUAAUCGGAAUUACUGGGCGUAAAGCGCACGCAGGCGGUCUGUCAAGUCGGAUGUGAAAUCCCCGGGCUCAACCUGGGAACUGCAUUCGAAACUGGCAGGCUAGAGUCUAGUAGAGGGGGGUAGAAUUCCAGGUGUAGCGGUGAAAUGCGUAGAGAUCUGGAGGAAUACCGGUGGCGAAGGCGGCCCCCUGGACAAAGACUGACGCUCAGGUGCGAAAGCGUGGGGAGCAAACAGGAUUAGAUACCCCGGUAGUC
rnacentral:rRNA from 1 species